rnacentral:rRNA from 1 species
UACGUAUGGAGCAAGCGUUAUCCGGAUUUACUGGGUGUAAAGGGAGCGUAGACGGUUUGGCAAGUCUGAUGUGAAAUUUCAGGGCUUAACCCUGAACCUGCAUUGGAAACUGUCGGACUAGAGUGUCGGAGAGGUGAUUGGAAUUCCUAGUGUAGCGGUGAAAUGCGUAGAUAUUAGGAGGAACACCAGUGGCGAAGGCGGCUCACUGGACGAUAACUGACGUUGAGGCUCGAAAGCGUGGGGAGCAAACAGG